UACGUAGGUGGCAAGCGAUACUCGGAAUCACUAGGCGUAAAGCGCAGGUAGGCGGUGCAAAUAAGUCUUUUUGUGAAAGCUCCCGGCUUAACUGGGAGAGGUCAAGGGAAACUGUUGUGCUAGAGUGUGGCAGAGGAAGCUAGAAUUCCCGGUGUAGCGGUGAAAAUGCGUAGAUAUCGGGGAAGGAAUACCUAUGGCGAAAGCAGGCUUCUGGGGCUAUCACUGACGCUGAUCUGCGAAAAGCUAGGGGGAGCAAACAGG
rnacentral:rRNA from 1 species